rfam:Aspergillus clavatus NRRL 1 1099423829796 genomic scaffold, whole genome shotgun sequence.
GGCCGGAUGGCGCAAUGGUAGCGCGUUGGUUUUCGGCACCAAAGGUUGCGCGUUCGAAUCGCGUUUCGGUCG